rnacentral:lncRNA from 1 species
CCACAUCAACUAAGUUCUAAACCGCUCUCUGAAAUUCCAAAGUUAGAUAUUGGACAAGAGUUCAACUACAAAAUUUUCAAGUGUACAAUGACACGAAGGAAAAUUUUUUAAAAACCCAAAUACACCAACUAUCCUAUCAGGAGAAUUGUAAAGCGAUAUCUAAAUUCCAUUUUUAUGCCACAAAUCCAUCCAGUCAAAUACACCACAAAUAUAUGUGGUAUUAUACACAUGGAGCCACUAAUAUUUUUUAUAGGAUUGAAAAGGAAAAGGAAAAGGAAAAGAGAAAGUAUUAGAUGUAAAUCCUGCUAAAUCCAAAAGAAAAGAACAGCGUGCCAUGUCAUACACCUAACACCCCCACCUUAAUUAAAGCAUGCUUUGAGUCAUAGGCAAUGUCAUAACAACAUGAAGACUGGUAGCAAGUCGAUUAAGAAAAUAGGCAUCCAUCUAAGACAGCAAAUAAAAACCCAAGUGAUAAGAUUCAUUGUAGAAGAGAUUUGUGAAGAUGCAUCACCAACUUGGAGGAAAUAUCUAUAUUAGUUUGGUGCUUCUUCCCCUAUCUUAUCUCGUUUUUAUUUUUUAUAUUUAUUUCUUCAUUUCUGGAUUUUUUCAAUAACCUCCUACAUACAAGAAGUGCAUGGAGAAAUUUUGAAGCGCACUGCCAUAUUUGGAAUUAUAUAGAAUAAUUCCACCACCAUCAGCAAGUAUAAAUGGGAGAUCAGUGUAUUGUAGUAUAAAUGUGAGAGAAUAAGAGAGAUCAUUGAGAAACCAAGUAGUGAUUGCUAGUUAGCGGAGUUGUGGAUGUCCUUUUGUUAAAUAAUAAAUUAAUUAAAGGUGUCUGUGUUUGCUCAACUUAUACUCUAUUUAUAAUUCAAUUCCCAUUUCAUUUAAACUCAUUAAUUUCGUAGCAGAGAAAGAUGGUCAAACAAGGAGCAAUUUUUUGAGCUUCCAGAGACUCUGCACAAUUUGGAAUUAUGAAGCUUACUUAAGCUUUACUGAUAUGGAGGAGGUUAACCAAGUUACAAUGAACGACCUACAAGUGGUAGGUGGGUAAAGAAGCUUAAUAAUCAAAAUUACAAGAAGUUAUCGUAUCUCCAAAGCUAAGACUUCUAAAAGGUAGUGGCCACUAUUCACAUAUAGUCAAAUAAUGCCGAGGCUCUAAAGAAAUGGAAGAUUAAAACAAGCACAACUAUCAUUUCAACCAAGAUAACAAUCAUAGAUAAAUUCUUGGAGCACAUAAGGGCCACAAACACAUCGAAUAAAACAUGGGACACCUUUAUUGGAUGAUUCUGAGAGAAACAUGAUAUACGGUUGCAUCUUCUCGAAAACAAGCUAUUAUCGAUAGCUUAAGGAGAGAUGACAAUAGGCAAAAACUUCAACAAGGUAAAAUCUUUCUAUCUUGAUAUCUGUGAAUUCAAUUCUACAAAGUCAAGUUUCAUAAUCAAGGUCAUGAAGAAUUAUUACACAUGUAUUAAGACAAUAUCGCUGUAAUACAUGGUUAACCCGAGCAACCCCUAUUAGUCAACUUGAAAAUUUGUUGGCCAACCAAGAAGGGUGUUGACCUAGGAAAUUAUAGAGUUCUCACUAAAGAAAGAAGAUGAAGCAUCAUUUCAUUUAGCUAUAAAUGAGAGGUUGAACCAAACAACAAAUUAACAGAAAAUCAAAAUAAAAUAAAUUUAAAGAAAAAGAAUAAGGCUCUCAAUCAAGGGAAGACCAACAGGACUGCUAUGAGAGUAAAUAGUCAUCCAAGGGUUAUAGGCGGAGUAAUUACUCAUGAUACAGGUGUUGCAAAUGAAGAUAUUAUGUUACAAAUAGUUUUAGAAAAAGUCUGGGCAGUAUAAAAACCUCCAAUGAGAGAAAAAUAUAAUAGUAAAGAUGAAUGGAAUGUCGAGAAGUCCACCAUAGAAAUUGCAAAGAACUUAAAAGCGUGAUUAACUCCAAGCUAUGUGCUGAAAAAGGCAAGGAUUUGAAAAUGUCACCGUGUAUCAACAACUAGUGGAAAAUAACACUAACAAGCUCAAUAUUCCUUGAGUAGUUGGAGCAAGUUGCUUCGUGGAGAAGCCAAAUAAGCAACAUCUUGAAUGGUAUGACGAAUCCCUAAGGUGAAAUUGACUAUAAAUUCUUUUACAAGAAAAAUAAAUAUUGCAAGGAUGUUGGCUAUGUGAUGCGAACCAUGCUUGAUGUCAAGAUACGUAAAGAUCGAAUACUGGAUAUAUGUUCAAUCUUGGGGAAACAAUAGUGUUAUUGAGUAGUAAAAGCAAACCAACAGGGUCCUUAUUGAGGUAGUGGCAAUGGCUGCACAAGAGAGUACAUGGCUACUGGAGUUGAUAGCUAUAUUGUGGUAAUUAAUCGCCUACCUAGUGUGUCAUGCUAGAACUAAGCACGCAAAAGUAUACUAUCACUCAGAGAAAAGGUGCUAAAAGGGAGAUUGAGUUGAAGCAUGUCAACACAAAACAAGUGGCAAACAUUAACCAAAGGGCCCGGUACUUCAAAAUUUGCAAAGUUUUGAGAAAGUUUGGGAAAUUUAAAGAUAAGAGCUAGACCACAUAGUCGGUGCCAAAGGAGAAAAGUGAAUAAGCACCACCGACUUUAGGAAAUUUCCAAAUUAUUACAGGUGCUUCUUCCCCUAUCUUAUCUCCAUUUUUAUUUGAUUCCUUCAUUUCUAGCUUUUUCCAAUAACUAUUGACAUUACAAGAAGUGUGGAGAAAUUUUGAAGUCCACCACCAUAUUUGGGAUUAUUUAGAAUAAUAAGUCAGCAAUUCCACCACCAUUAGCAAUUAUAAAUAGAGAUGGAUGUAUUGUCAUAUGAAUGUGAGAUAAUAAGAGAGAUCAUUGAUUAGCAAUGAAGCUAGUGGAGUUGUAAGUGUCAUUUUCUUAAAUGAUAAAAUAAGUUAUGGGUUUGUGUUAGCUUAACCUGUACAAGUGCUUUUAAAAUUCAAUUCCCAUUUUGUUUAAACUCUUCAAGUCAUCAAAAAUUUCACACAUUCCAUUAACAUGAAGUUUAUCCAUUAGGUUGAAUCAUUUAAAGAACAGAAAAAUGUAUGUGAGUCAUUUCUAGCAAGCAAUUGAAAUUU